rnacentral:SRP_RNA from 1 species
GCUGGGGGUGUGGCGGCUCCUGUAAUCCGGCUACUCGGAGGCUAGUUAUGAAGGAGGGUCUUGACGCACAGAUUCAACUGUUGGUGUUAGGGUCACGUUGACUGGGCGUCCGCGCUAAGCUCGCCAUCAAUAUGGGCACCCUUGAGGAAUCUUGGGCGGCCAGGUUGGCUAAAGAGAGGCGAACCGGGCCAGAGGGGAAACCCAGCAGCCAAAAGUCUCCGUGGCGGGCAGUAGUGGGAUCGCGCCCGGGAGUGGACGGCAUCAGUAGCUUGGGCAAAUAUUAGACUCGACACAUAACUUU